UACGGAGGGGGCUAGCGUUGUUCGGAAUUACUGGGCGUAAAGCGCACGUAGGCGGCCUGGCAAGUUGGGCGUGAAAGCCCGGGGCUCAACCCCGGAACUGCGUUCAAGACUGCGAGGCUCGAGUUCGGGAGAGGAGAGUGGAAUUCCCAGUGUAGAGGUGAAAUUCGUAGAUAUUGGGAAGAACACCGGUGGCGAAGGCGGCUCUCUGGACCGACACUGACGCUGAGGUGCGAAAGCGUGGGGAGCAAACAGG
rnacentral:misc_RNA from 1 species